rnacentral:rRNA from 1 species
GAAGUAGCAUACUAGUGGUAACGGGUGAUACAUGUAGGUAUCUGCCCUAUGGCCUGGAAUAACACGAGGAAACUUGUGCUAAUACCGGAUAAGUCUUCACGGAGAAAGCUUUAUGCACCAUUGGAUGAGCCUGCACUUGAUUAGUUUGUUGGUGGGGUAAUGGCCUACCAAGACUGUGAUCAAUAGCUGAUUUGAGAGGAUGAUCAGCCACAUUGGGACUGAGACACGGCCCAAACUCCUACGGGAGGCAGCAGUGGGGAAUCUUGCACAAUGGAGGAAACUCUGAUGCAGCGAUGCCGCGUGAGUGAAGAAGGCCUUUGGGUUGUCAAGCUCUUUCGUCGGGGAAGAAAAUGACUGUACCCGAAUAAGAAGGUCCGGCUAACUUCGUGCCAGCAG